UGAACCUGGAGGGGGGCAAGAACGGUGAUGAGGUUCAGUGUAGGGGAAAGGUGGGGGCCAGUCAUAGGCCGAAUCCUCGAAGCAGCAGCAGGGGAAAUGACUCACCUCUUGGCGUUAAGCUUGGGUAUGCCUGUGAUCUUCAGCUGGUUCGUCGCCAUCACAGGCAUGUCCUUCAGCGUCAGCUGGCGAAAUGGAAAAAUAAGGAGUAUUUUCAGGAAAUCCACGUGAAAGAGGGACAACAAAGAAAUUGCACACGUACAAACCAGGAUUCUAACCAGAAUCCCUGAACAUAAAAGAUCAUAGUACUACCUACUAAGCCAACCCAGAAUUUAUCCAGGUUAUUUGCUUAUACAUACAGUUGUAUUAUGAUAUGAAAUAUUAUAUGGAAUAUAAAACUACAUGCCACUUUGAGAAUGUAUUUUUUAACACUAAAAGGAUGUGACCCAUAGAGAAUGUAAUGCUAGAAAACAACAUUAAGACAAAGUAGUUUGUAAUGGAGCGUAACCUUUUUAGGAGUUUCUGGAUGCUGCUCCAUCACGCCAAAGUAACUAUAGAAGCUUGUUUUUGGGCCUUGUACUGGCCCACGCUAUUGGCCACGAAGUACUUGUACUGGCCCACGCUAUUGGCCACGAAGUACUUGUACUGGCCCACGCUAUUGGCCUGCACUACUGCCUUAUGAUAUCUGAUGAUUUCAACUUCGUAUAAAUAAAAGCAGGAUAAAUCAUGUUACGGGGUCACAUAGCCAUGGAAGGACGUUACAUAGGCUUUUGCUGGAAAUCAUGGGUAGACACCGAGGUCAAGGGCAGCUGGCACUAUAAUUAUUGUGGGAAUCAGGGGGAGACACCGAGGUCAAGGGCAGUCGCACCUGGCAGAGGACCUGGGAGACACCCAUAUGCACGAAGAGGUGGCCCCAAGGAUAGAUGCCCUACAGUCACUGGACCCCAUGACCCUGCCCAACACCCAGUCCAUAUAAGCAUUGAACAGAGUGGGAGCAAGAACACACCCCUGGAGAACCCCAGAGUCAACUGGGGAGAAGGCAGAGGUUCUCUGCACGGCACUCACAGUAGCAGCGUACAGACCAGUCAUGAUGUCCAGCAAUUUUGGGGGGAUCCCACAAAGGUUCAGAAUGUCCCACAAGGCAGCAUGAUCAACUGAGUCAAAUGUUUUACGAAAAUCUACAAAGGUGGCAAAGAAACUGUGCUGAUAUUCAUGUUUGUGUUCAAUUAGAACCCUCAGUUACAGGAUACAGCCGAUGGUCGACUUCUUAGGCAUGAAACGAGACUGCUCCAUGGCAACAGGGACGCCUGUAAAUGAUGCGCGUCAGUUUGGCGGUUACCUUUGGCGGUGGCUGAGUGUGGCCGAAAUGAAGGUGGAGCACACAUAGGAGGAGGAGAGCCCAGCUUCCUAUCUGCAAAGAUCAGAAAAGAGGUGGAGAGUGAUGGGGCUCAUUACAAUGUCUGAGAUGCAGCACCGUCAACAUAUGAUUCACGUCAUCGUCAAGUUUAGACGGAGGAAGAAUCCACUUCAGGCCAUGAGAGGAAACUGAUAAAGAAAGACCAGAGGGCACCCAUUUACCCACAAAGUAGAUGAUUCCAGUCUGUGGGAAGACUGGGGAACAGUCUGUAUCAGCUGGUGUGCAGGAACUGUAAUCAGCCUGGACACACUGUUCAGCCUGCAUGUUCCAGAAUCUGAUCAUGUAGAAGUUCAGGUAGGGGAUAAAUGUGUAAAUAUGCCCAUGAUAAUAUCAGAACAUACCCAAGUGAUCUUGUCACAAUGAGAUGCUCUGUAUCAGUUGUAGAUAAACAUAAAAUGUGCAGAAGGAAGAUGGAGAUACUCAAUGAUAGUACAGCCUUCUGUGACAAAAUUUACUGCCUUGUUAGAUGCAGAGCCCCACAUAUAAGUACACUGAAAAAACUAACUGCAAAAUCUAUUAAAUUAACUGUCGUAAUUUCUACAUUGUAAUAUUAGAAUUCAGUAAAGAUUAGAAUUAUAUAAAAAAUGAA